rnacentral:rRNA from 1 species
AUGCAAGCACUGUUGUGUCUUGGCCUCGGUCUCACACUGCUUGUAGCACAAUACGCUCCUGGAACUGCGGCUCCAAGUUCAGAGUGCCGAAGGUGGUGCGGCGAUGUUGAGAUACCAUACCCAUUUGGUAUCGAUCCAGGCUGCUCAUUCGGAAAAGACUUUGACAUCAGCUGUAAGGUCCAAGAUGGCAUCACGAAGCCAUUCAAGUACACCUUAGAGGUGCUUAGCAUCUCCUUGACUAACAGCACGGCCCGGGUACUGAAUAACAUCAUGGGGUACUGCUACAACAACUCCACCACGAGCAUGGAGGAAUUCGGCAAUUCCAUGGUUGUCGACGAAAUCAGUCCUGCUCCUUCGUUUCCCUACCGGCUCUCUGACAUCCACAACAAGUUCACGGUCAUCGGGUGCAAUGCUCUUGCCUUCAUGAGUGACACCGAUGACACAGGAACGGGCUACCAAGCCUAUGGCGUCGCAUCAUGCCGUGGUCUGCCAGACUUACAAGACAGAUCGUGCUCUGGUAUCGGCUGCUCCCAGACUAUGAUACCUAAGAAGAUGCGCAGCUACUAUACAGAUUUCUUCAAGUCGGUCAACACAAGUAAAAUCUGGGAGUUCAACCGGUGCAGCUAUGCAGUGCUGAUGGAGACAACAGGAUUCAACUUUAGCACUUCGUACAUAAGCAACACCGUGUUCAAUGACACAUACCUUGGACGGGUACCUAUGGUGAUUGAUUGGGCUAUAAGAAAUGUGAGUUCUUGUGAAGAUGCCCAAUGGAAUAACAUGGGUACUUAUGCAUGCCUGAGCAACAACAGCAAGUGUGUGAAUUCCACCAACCAUCUAGGGUACACAUGCAGUUGUAUCCCUGGGUAUGACGGGAACCCUUAUCUUCUAGAUGGAUGCAUAGAUGUCAACGAAUGCAAGAAGGACCAUCAAUGUCCUUCAGAUGGAUUUUGCCACAAUACUGAUGGAGGGCACUGGUGUUCUUGCAGACGAGGGAAAGUUUAUGUGUACGAAAGCAAAACAUGCAACACCGACACCAAAUUUAUAAUAGGAGUUACAAUAGGAUUAUUUGGCCUAAUCGUUAUUAUCAUGGCCACUAUCUUCUGGGGACAAUUGAUAUGUCAAAAGAGGAAACUGAAUAAAGUCAAGCUUGAGUAUUUUCGCCAGCAUGGAGGCAUGCUUUUGUUUGAUAAGUUGAAAUCAGAGAAAGGUCUUGCCUUCAAGGUAUUUUCAGAAGAUGAGCUAAUACAUGCAACUAACAACUUUGACAAUAGAAGAAUACUUGGAAGAGGUGGGAACGGAACAGUUUAUAAAGGGAUAUUGAAGGACAAGAUGUCAGUUGCAGUUAAAAGAUGUGCAUUGGCUGAUGAAAGGCAAAAGAAAGAAUUUGGACAAGAGAUCAUUAUUUUGUCCCAAAUCAAUCACAAGAACAUAGUGAAACUCUUGGGUUGUUGCCUUGAGGUUGAAGUUCCAAUUCUAGUAUAUGAGUUUGUCCUAAACGGUACACUAUUCGAGCUUAUCCAUGGCAAGAACCACCUAAAAAUCUCCUUCAACACUCUCUUAAGAAUUGCUCAUGAAGCAGCCGAAGGACUCAGCUUCCUGCAUUCGUAUGCGUCUCCUCCAAUAAUUCAUGGUGAUGUGAAAAGUUCCAACAUCUUGCUUGAUAAUAACUAUAUGGCCAAAGUGUCAGACUUUGGAACCUCCAUACUAGCCCCGUCUGACAAAGAGCAGUUUGUCACAAUAGUUCAAGGUACUUGUGGUUACCUUGAUCCUGAAUACAUGCAAACAUGUCAGCUAACAGACAAAAGUGAUGUGUACAGUUUCGGAGUUAUCCUUUUAGAGAUUCUCACAGGCCAAUUGCCACUAAAGCUCGAGGGGUCUCGGAGACGCAAAGAAGCUUGUCAUUGGUUUUCUUGUGUGCUAUGA